AAUUAUUUGGCUGUUUUCUCCAGGCAGAGCACAUUGCACUCUUCUCUGUACUACCAAGUUAAGGGAAGCCUCUGAAAACUGGAACAAGACAAGGAUGCCCACUCUCACCAGUCCUCUUCAAAAUAGUACUGGAAGUCCUAGCCAGAGCAAUCAGACAAGAGAAAGAAAUAAAGGGCAUCCAAAUCAGUAAAGAGGAAGUCAAACUGUCACUAUUUGCUGAUGAUAUGAUUGCUUACCUUGAAAACCCUAAAGACUCCUCCAGAAAGCUCCUAGAACUGAUAAAAUAAUUCAGCAAAGUUUCUGGACACAAGAUUAAUAUACACAAAUCAAUAGUUCUUCUAUACACAAACAGCAGCCAAGCAGAGAAUCAAAUCAAGAACUCAACCCCUUUUACAGUAGCUGUGAAAAAGUAAAAUACUUAGGAAUAUACCUAACCAAGGUGGCAAAAGACCUCUACAAGGAAAACUACAAAAACCUGCUGAAAGAAAUCAUAGACAACACCAACAAAUGAAAAGACAUCCCAUACUCAUGGAUGGGUAGAAUCAAUAUUGUGAAAAUGACCAUACUGCCAAAAGCAAUCUACAAAUUCAAUUUAAUCUCCAUAAAAAUACCACCAUAAUUCUUCACAGAAUUAGAAAAACAAUUCUAAAAUUCGUAUGGAAUCAAAAAAGAGCCCGCAUAGCCAAACAAAGACUAAGCAAAAAGAACAAAUCUGGAGGUAUCACACUACCUGAUUUCAAACUAUGCUAUAAGGCCAUAGUCACCAAAUCAGCAUGGUACUGGUAUAAAAAUAGACAUAGACACAUAGACCAAUGCAACAGAAUAGAGAACCCAGAAAUAAAUCCAAAUACUUACAGCCAACUGAUCUUCGACAAAGCAAACAAAAACAUGAAGUGGGGAAAGGACACUCUUUUCAACAAAUGGUGCUGGGAUAAUUGGCAAGCCACAUGUGGAAGAAUGAAACUGGAUCCUCAUUGCUCACCUUGUAUAAAAAUCAACUGAAG
rnacentral:lncRNA from 1 species